GGAAAAUAUAACAGAUAUUUACAAAUCAUCUUCCAUAUCAGAGGACCCACGAUUGCAUAAGGAUCGCUCCCUUUGGCACUGAAAUAUUACUACCCAUGGGGCAAGCACCAGUCAACCAUGUAGCCCCUCAGGGCGCUUCCACAGAGCAGAGGAGUUUUCAGGAGACAGACUCCAGUUCCUAAUAUGUGCCAAACCCAAGAGCUGACACUGAAGUGUCAGAACUGGCUAUCCCACGGCCAAGGAAUGAAAACUGUCCAAAUUCCAGGAAUGGUGCUGAGAACAGCUGCAAUGAAACCAUGUCCCACCAACUUUGAUCUUGGAUCUUCUGCACAGGAUUAAAGGGGGCUUGAUAUGACGAGUUCACAUACUUGUCACAUCCCUGGGAUAUGAGGAGCUGCCAGAAACCCCUCUGGCUGCCUUGAGUCCAGCUCAAGACACCUUGUCAGGAGUGGCUCAAACAGAAGAGAGCGCUGUUUGUAUCCAUACAAAUAUCCAUUCAAACCCCACAGUUGUCAGAGCAAGGAAUCAUAUUUCCCCAGCGCCUGCCCUCUGGGUAAGAAAAGGCAAACAUAUCAUCCAGAUGCAGAACCACUCCGUACCAGCCUCCAAACUAAGUGUUGCAAAACAGAAUUGCUUUUCCAUCAACCACAUUACAACAUCCAGAACCAGCCUCUGAGGCUUUGGGAAUGAGAGGAAUGCCAUCCACCCCGGCUGUUACCAGACUUGGUUGUCCUUCUGCCGCUUCUCCCCCGCCUCUCCCUCGCCCUAACUCUUUUUAAAGCCAGGAUUCCAGUGUCCCCACGAUGUGGAGUUCAAAACAGUGACCCACCGGACGGGCAGGUGGGAGCAAUUACUAGUGUGGCUGUUUGUAGGGACCCGAGGGGACGGGAUAAGCCCGGGGUUAUUUUGACAGCUGGUGUUAUUGGGGUCACGCUGAAGCGUUUGUGUUCUCAGCGCUAGAAA
rnacentral:lncRNA from 1 species